rnacentral:rRNA from 1 species
UACGUAGGGGGCAAGCGUUGUCCGGAUUUAUUGGGCGUAAGCGCGUGUAGGCGCCAGGUAGGUCCGUUGUGAAAACUCGAGGCUCACCUCGAGACGUCGACGGAAACCCUCUGGCUAGAGUCCGGAAGAGGAGAGUGGCAUUCCGUGGUGUAGCGGUGAAAUGCGCAGAUAUCAGGAAGAACACCCGUGGCGAAGGCGGCUGCGUCUGGGACGGUACUGACGCUGAGACGCGAAAGCGUGGGGAGCGAACAGG